rnacentral:rRNA from 1 species
AAUAGAUACCCAGGUAGUCCACGCCGUAAACGUUGGGCACUAGGUGUGGGACCUUAUCAACGGGUUCCGUGCCGUAGCUAACGCAUUAAGUGCCCCGCCUGGGGAGUACGGCCGCAAGGCUAAAAACUCAAAGGAAUUGACGGGGGGCCCGCAUAAGCGGCGGAGCAUGUUGCUUAAUUCGAGGCAACGCGAAGAACCUUACCUAGGUUUGACAUGUAGGGAAAAGCCGUAGAGAUACGGUGUCCUUUUGGGCCCUACACAGGUGGUGCAUGGCUGUCGUCAGCUCGUGCCGUGAGAUGUUGGGUUAAGUCCCGCAACGAGCGCAACCCUUGUCCCAUGUUGCCAGCGGGUAAUGCCGGGGACUCGUAGGAGACUGCCGGGGUCAACUCGGAGGAAGGUGGGGACGACGUCAAGUCAUCAUGCCCCUUAUAUCUAGGGCUGCAAACAUGCUACAAUGGCCGGUACAAAGGGCUGCUAUACCGCGAGGUGGAGCGAAUCCCAUAAAGCCGGUCUCAGUUCGGAUUGGAGUCUGCAACUCGACUCCA